rnacentral:rRNA from 1 species
AUUGAACGCUGGCGGCAGGCCUAACACAUGCAAGUCGAGCGGAUGAAGGGAGCUUGCUCCUGGAUUCAGCGGCGGACGGGUGAGUAAUGCCUAGGAAUCUGCCUGGUAGUGGGGGAUAACGUCCGGAAACGGGCGCUAAUACCGCAUACGUCCUGAGGGAGAAAGUGGGGGAUCUUCGGACCUCACGCUAUCAGAUGAGCCUAGGUCGGAUUAGCUAGUUUGUGGGUUAAAGGCCUACCAAGCCGACGAUCCGUAACUGGUCUGAGAGGAUGAUCAGUCACACUGGAACUGAGACACGGUCCAGACUCCUACGGGAGGCAGCAGUGGGGAAUAUUGGACAAUGGGCGAAAGCCUGAUCCAGCCAUGCCGCGUGUGUGAAGAAGGUCUUCGGAUUGUAAAGCACUUUAAGUUGGGAGGAAGGGCAGUAAGUUAAUACCUUGCUGUUUUGACGUUACCAACAGAAUAAGCACCGGCUAACUUCGUG